UAUAAAGAUAUAUAUAUAUAUAUAUAUAUAGAUCCUGAUCUGACAUUCUUGUAGUAGGGGUAAGCCUAGAUAUGAGGACAGAAAGUCUCCUAUAUUGUUCACUACAAGGCGCUGAUAUCAAGUAGUAAAAACAAUCUCAAAGUAACACUAGGUAACCUAGUUCACCAUUUGGUGAAAGCACAUAGGUGAGAUUUUUAUAAUUUUAUGAUACUUUAUAAGUAAACUUCGUAACUAAUUUUGUAAGUAAAUUUUCAAUAUAAUUUUAUAGUAAUCUUUCAAUAUAUUGUGAUCCUGUGCUGUAUCGAAUUGUAAAUGGAAUAAAUAUAAACGUAGACAUUGUACGUUUGCGACAACAUAUACGUCUGUAUUGGUUGUCGUUUAUUUUCUGUUUAUAAACGGGGAUCGAGCUUAGAAGCCCGAUGCAUAGCUGACAGUCUUUUGACAAUCUAAACUGAACUUAGAACAGGACAAAAAGAAUGAAAGUGAUAGAGACACUGAGAGUCGAAACGAGAUAAGUUGAGCCUUUCUUAACUCAAAAAUCAAACUUUCUUAUCUUUGAUUUGUGAUGAAUGAAAUUUUUACUAACAUGUUCGUUACAUUUUCUUAAUUGAAAUUACACCAAAUACGAUACGAUUUGGAGCAUAUUUGCUUACUUUAUAAAUGAUAAUUAAAUACAUAUCAAUAAGUAAAUCUAAUUCAAAUUAUAUCGUGUUUGUUCUCAUUUUAUUUAGAAAGAUCUCACAAAUAUAUUAGCAAAAGAUUAAUUUAGAAAAAGUAAAAAGUGAAAAGGUUUCACUUUUGAAUUAGUAUCCGCAUACAUAGACUGUCGUCCCCUCGAUCGUAGUCGAAGAGGGAUGAGAUGGCGCGGCGUAUCCCCGGUUGUAGCCGGGGUGAAGACUAUUGCACUCGGUUGUCAGUACACAACGAAGCAUGAAUAGGAUAGGCAGGAUAUGGAUCCAAUGCUAAUUGCCUCCGUAGGGAGAAGUCAAGCGGAUCGCCGAGGAUUUUACUCGAGGAGCUAUGGCAUUAUUAUUAUUACAAAUCACGGGCGAGUUUUACUUGGCUUCACGAGUCGAUUGUGUAUUUCCGUGUAGUCGAUAUGUAUUCCAAUCCUCCAUAGAUUAGAAUUCAGAGAAUUAAUAAGUUUUACUCAAUAAUAAAAAUAAAAUGGAUAAAAAUCGUGGAUUACAAAAAUUACAUAGUCAUGACAUCAAAUCUUGUUUGUAGUUAGUUUAUACCUCUUUUUUAUCAUCUUUAUGAACGAACAUACAUGCAAAACAGAUACAUCACUCAGAAAUAUUACUCGCAACCUAACAACUACUGAAAUUACUAUUGAAGUGAAAUUCAGGUUUUAUAACAAAAAUAUUAUCACGAGGAAAGUGAAUUUAAUGUUAAACCUAGAAAGCUGUUGUGUAUAGAGAAUAUAUUAAAAUUAUUGCAUCAUUCCACUGAUCCAUUAUCGUUUGAAAGUAAAGAUUUCCUUCUCUUUUCUAAAAAGAAAUAUAAUAAACAAUUAAUUUUACUUUCUACGGCACCUAAGUUUAAUUAUUGUAAGAUUUUGUUAUUCUCAUACUUUCUACCUCGGAAAGAAAAGUAUGAACUUUUCCAUAGAAUCGUACAAUGAAAUAGGCUCUACUUGUGACUGGACUAAAUACGUUCUUGUAUGCUAGCGUGGAACCAAAUAGGGUAGAUUUCUAACUUUAUAGGUUCUUGCAUAUGCUAGCGUGGAACACCUUCGGCAUUUGAUCGCAUGGUGCAGCACUUGCACUGUGGAACAACUAGGACAAUGGGCAUGAGCAAUCUUAUUUGUUCUCUGACCUUAAAUGUGUUAAGUGAGAUCUGUGCAAAUGUAUGGUGCCAUUAUUGCUGUAACUAUUCUGGCAUUCUUAAAAAUUAUCAACUGUUUUCUGAUUUGUUAGCUUUUCACUGAUUUAGGAGCUGUUUAAGCGUCGAGGCGAGGGACACUUAGUGAAAGUAAUAGACAAAAAAAUGUUCAUUUAGCUUAUCUAUUAGUUGGUACAAGGUCCUGUAGUUGAGGUUACAACUUCUUCGAAGUAGUUACGUAUUUAUUUUUACAAAAUUUUAUGAGUAUACAGAAAUUUUGAGGUAUAAUAAAACAACUACCUGUAUUUCUUAAUCUAUUAAGUACUCACUUAAAUGCUUAUGGACUAUUGAUAGAGUAUAUUUGAAUAUAGACUUUAUUACAUAUGUGAUGUAGUUACUUAUCAUUUACUACAACUGCUUUCUACUUUUUAUAGUUACUCUUUUACUUUUAUAUCCAUCAGCAUU